GUCCACGCCGUAAACGAUGGGAACUAGGUGCUUGGGGGAGCGACCCCCCGAGUGCCGGCGCUAACGCAUUAAGUUCCCCGCCUGGGGAGGUACGGCCGCAAGGCUGAAACUCAAAGGAAUUGCGGGGGCCCGCACAAGCGGUGGAGCAUGUGGUUUAAUUCGACGCAACGCGAAGAACCUUACCUAGGCUUGACAUGUACGGGAAAGCCUCUGGAAACAGAGGCCCCCUCUUCGGAGCUCGUGCACAGGUGCUGCAUGGCUGUCGU
rnacentral:rRNA from 1 species